GCCGGACCGAACAGAUUUAGAGUUGAGCCAUCAAACUGGCAUCACACCGACAAUAUAUAAAGUCAAGUUUUACAAUAUAACUUUUAUAAAUCAUAACAUUAGUCCAAUAAUACUCAAAUUCAACAACAUAAUCAAACAUCUUCAUACAACAAAAAUCAUAGAUAAAACAUCCAAGAACAUGCAACAUCCAUUGUUCAAAACAGCAUAUUCCCAAACCGGAUUAGUUUUGCCUCUAACACUAGCUCAAGAUGGAGCCUCUGAUUGACUUUCCGUUUCAGAAAAUGCAUCAUCCAUGAGUUUGAAAGUUCCUGUCAUAAGAACAAUACCAAAAUUGAUUAAGAGUUUUCCAAUUAGACUCUUCAUCUCCUCCUACAACAACUGAAAUCAACAACAUCAAGAAGAAUAAAGAGUUCCUACAUAUUUCGUUUCCCACCCAUCUAGUUUGAAUACCACAACAACAAUCGAUUGACAAAAAAACGACAGGAAGAAGAGGGCCAGGGCCUUACAUCUGGGUUUGUCUGUGAGAUAGAAGUCGACGAUGAUCGCCGGUGAGUUGAAGGCGACGGACGUUGAUGAGUUUAAGCCGACGGACGCCGGAGAGUUGACCACGGGAGACGGGUUGAAGGCUUGAGCAGCGGCGGUUUUGUUGAGGAGAAUGCAAUUUUUUUCACGAUGGUGACUGAUGAUGAGUUUGAUUUUCAAUUUAAGGGUUACUGAAUUAUUGAAUUUCAAUUUUUUCUUUGUUUUUCAUUUUUCCAUGAAUCAAAU
rnacentral:lncRNA from 1 species